UGUCAUUAUCUUCAGCUGGAUAUUUUUUCUGGGUUUCAAGUCAUCGUUAUCUUCUCCAACAGAGAGUUAGUUACAGAGAGCGACAGCUCGAGAUGGAAGGUGACAGAGCUCGAGAGAUGAGAUGAGAGAGAGAUUGGGCUGGUGAGAGUGAGCUAGAGAGAGAUGUGAUUCUUGGUGUAUCUAGUCUCAUAGUCUUUUUCUUCUUCCUCAAUCUUGUAACUCGGAUUAGGUGUAAUCGAGAGAGGAAGAAGACGACUGAACCUCCGGUGACGUACUCUGUAAUCACAUUGAUUAUAGUGGAUUGGCUGAGAGACCGUUUCUCUCCCUGGUGAUGUAUAGCGGCUUCUCCACAUCGGAGAAGUGCGGUGAACACCGGGUAAACAAAGUCUCGUGUGUUAUUUCUUUAUGCUUGAUUCAUGAUUGAUUAGAUUCGUUUAGGCUUGUGAUGAGUAUUGAUUAAAGCCAAGAUUAUAGGAUGAAUCCUUAACAAGUGGUAUCAGAGCCUUGGUUUAGGCGAUUCAAGGAUUCAUCAGAAACGGAUCAAGAUCGGUUCUGAAGGAGAAUCGAAGAAGGAUCGGAGGAGUUGAAGUUUCGAUCGCAUCGUUGUUGCGAGAGUGAAGAAUCAGUAGAUGUUGCAAGAUAUGCAAUGUCCAGUGUAAAGAAAGAAGAAGAUGACGUCUGUUUGUGGAAGACGACGACGUCCGAGACGGAGGAAAGAAAACUCGCGAGGAAGAUGCAAUCAGAGCGAAUGGUUUCUGAUUUUGUGAAAUCAUAUGGUUCAGUAAGUUAAGCUCUCUCAUCUCUAGAGUUAUAAGCUGGUGUGAGUUUUGGAAUUAGAGACUCACAAGAGACGUUGCUGUGUUCACAACCGUAAGAAGAACCAUAGACUGAAGUGUAAAGAAUCAGAUAUGUGAUGUUGUUCUGCAGUUCUGGAAUUGGUUUGAUGCUGGCUGUUUGAGGUGGAGGAUCUCAGGUUAAAAUGUUAAGUCAAGAUCAGACUUAAGGAUACAGAAUCAAAGUCAGUUCAUAGUUUCCUCAAGUUUAAGUCUUGGAGACAAAUGGUCUCAGUCUGCAACAGUCACAAAGUUUUGUUGUGCUGGCUGGAUACUCAUCUACUGCAGUGUAUAAAGAAUGGAAGCUCUCUAAAUCACAAGGGCGGUAUGUUAUCUUUGCAAAGAGUGAUCAAGGCUCAGGUUUGGUGUCAAACUGUUUGUUGGUCAGCUUGUUUGUGGAAGGAAGAUGCAGCUGUGGUUUCAGGAUGUUUGGAAGAAUGGCAGUUGGUGGCAUCUAUGAAUCUCAGGUUUAAAGGACGCUUUAGAAGUGAGUUUGUAUGUGUGUCAAAGGCUGUUCAGAUACUGUUAAAGCUUUCAAGAUUCAAGUUUGAAGUUAAGUUGCAGAGAAGAAUGGUUUCUACAGGUUUUGGAACAAGACAGAUUUGGUAUUUUGAGGAGCUGGUUCAGGUUUUCAGAAAGUUUGAGUUGCAGGUUCAGUCACAGAGAUUAAGGGUCAGGUUCUGGUGAAUGUAAGAAGCUCAGGUGGUAAUGAUCAAGGUCAGCAAAAGGAUCAUAAUGGAGCUUGUAGCAGCAAGGAUUAUUUCUACAAAAAUGAAUCAAGGUUGUUAUGUUUGAUGUUAUUCUUCAGUGGUAGUAAAGUGAUAAAACAGAUGGGAUUCUGUGGUAUGUCACAUGACGUUUUUCACAUAAACAAACGUCACGGCUUAUUAGAAGAAUGCGUGAAGUCAUCAAGAAAGAAGCAGAAGCAGGAACAUGUUAUGCUUCCAGAAGUAUGCGUCAAGAGAAAAGACAAGAGUUCUAGGAGCAAUGUGAGUAUAUGCUGGAAUAGAGUUUCUUGUGGGAUCAAAGUUGAUAACUUUGGAGGAGUAUGAGUGGAAGAGGCAGCUCGUGGUAGAGGUUUAACUGUCUCACUCAAGGCGUUUCUGCAGAGGGUUAAAAGUGGUGAUUUCUUAAGAGAAAGAAGGCUGAUAGAAUAUCAGUGGCAAGGAGCCAAAGAGAUGAAACAAGUUUCUGGUUUUAUGGCUCAAGGAAAGGAAAGCAAGGAGUUUGUUUUGCUGGUUGUAGUUCUUUUGAACAUGGAGUCUACAAGUUCAAGUCUGUGCAGGAUGUCUCAGGUCAAUUGGUGCUUGUGUUCUGUAUUUUAAAGACACACGAGAAGUUUCAGGAGAUGGAGAAAUCUGAGAGAAACUUCAAAGAAUGAUUGUGAGGACAUGUUAGUGUGUAUGGGACAGCAGGACGAAAGCACAGCAGGUGGCAGUCACUCAAGGAUGUAGCAUUCAGAGGCUAUGAGAAGAAGCUGUAUGCUAAGAUAUAAAGGUUGAUGGGUUAAAUUCAGAAGGGUCUCACAGGGUUUAAAGUGUUAUGUGAAGAUGUGUUGUUGGUAGAGACUAUAACAGGUUGGAGCACAGUCAGUUUGGUGGUAGUGAAAUCAGAUUAGAGAGCUCGGAAGAAGCUGCGACACUUGGUGGUUAUAGUAUUAGUGACUAUGGUUGAAUGGCUGCAAAAUUAAUAUAAUUUUGAUAAGUCUGAAAUAAAAUUCAGAAGCAAGAAGCCAUGUUUACAGUCAGCUACACAAAGGGGUUAAGUGAAUCAAAGAAGAAAGUGCAGGAUGGUUAUAAGUCUGAGAAGUGAACCUUCAUGUGAAGAGGAACACAUUGGGGGGUUUUGAAAGGUUAUUGUUUCAGGUGGAGUCUUGCCUCUACAAGUGUUGUAGUGCACAUCUCUAGAUGUUUUUUUGACUUCAGGUGGAGCAGUGUUAUGUUUCAGACAGUGUUCUCAGGUCUACUUCAGUGUGAAAAGGUUUCAGAGGUUCUGCGGAUGAGCUUACAAGAGCUACAGAGAUUCAUGUUGGUUUUGUGAAGCAAGAAGAGUAAAAGAGAGCCAAGCCAAUGUCAGCAGGUUCAAGCUCAACAUGUUAUAAUCAGAUGGAGUAAAAAGGGUUCAGCUUGUGGUCAGAGAUGUGAAGAGGAUAUCAGCAGUGUUAGUAUGGGUUCUCAACAGGAAGCACAGAGUAAAACGACAUCGAGGCAGAGUCACUGCAGGUAUUCACAGGGACCAGGGAGAACAAUUCAAGGUGGAGCUGUUUGAGUCAAUAACCAAGCUGAACAAGUUCAGAGAGUUCUCUAAGAGUAGCUACAAGGAGACAAAGAGCAAGUGUUGUUGGUACUGUCACAAGAGAGCACAAGAAGGAUUGAGCUACAGAGAACUGAAGUUCUCGGUAAAGUCUGGAACAGACGUGGGCGUUUGUAUACCAGUCUGUGGUGGAGUUAUGCAGGUCAGAGAAUUGCAGGUUUCUACUACAUAAAGUGUCUCAGGGAUUGUCACAGGUUCUGUGAGUUUGAGGCAGGGAUAAAGAAGUCAGCAGGUGGUCAGAUUUGUUGUCUGAAGUUCUGUUGAGGCAGAUUUGUUUGAGCAGAGAUCUCUACAUCGAAAGUCUUCUUAACCGGGUUGAGUUAGGCGGCGUGUUCUGCUGGUCACAACAGCGGUGAAGAGUGAUGUUCAGGUUGAAAGUUCAUACAGAUUGGUGUAGAGGAAAACUUCAGGAUUAGCAGUUUUGGCAGAUUAUUUGAAGACCUUAGUUGCAGUAACAAGUCAAGCAUCAUAGGCUGAUCUAUACUAGUCAAAGGAGAAGCUUAUGGAGUGUAUGUUGAGUUACUGGAAUGGGAUUGUGAUUCACAUCACAACAAGUUACAUGUCUGUUCAUUGAUGAUGAUUAAGUGGUUGAAGACUGGGAGUUGUCAAGGCUGUAACUGGGUUUACAAAGUUCAAGGGAGCAGUGGCGAAGGUGUCUUCAGGUGUAUCAAGAUAGGUACUGAAUAAGAUGCGUGGAGGAAACAAGUUUCAGGAAACGUUGAAGCUGAGCGGUGAAGCUCAUAAUAAGAUGAAGCUGAAUGGGUUUUAUUCAGAGAAGUAUGAAGCUGAGGAGUAUAUUUUUCUCAGGAGACUGCAAGGAGAUGCAGGGAGAUACAGAAGAUGAGCAAGUCUGCUCAAUCACUGGAGGAAAGCUCAAGAAAAGAUAAGACAUCAAGAAGAUCGAUGCCAAGGUGGAGAUUGUAGAAUUGUGUCAUCAAUCUUCUAAGCUUCUAAGUCAAACAGAAGGUUUGAAUAUGCUGAGAGAAGGAAAGACUCUUGGUCCAGCAGAAGGUUUUACUAAAGCUAAUGAUAUGCACAUGAGGAGUACGUGAGUUGUCAUUAUCUUCAGCUGGAUAUUUUUUCUGGGUUUCAAGUCAUCGUUAUCUUCUCCAACAGAGAGUUAGUUACAGAGAGCGACAGCUCGAGAUGGAAGGUGACAGAGCUCGAGAGAUGAGAUGAGAGAGAGAUUGGGCUGGUGAGAGUGAGCUAGAGAGAGAUGUGAUUCUUGGUGUAUCUAGUCUCAUAGUCUUGUUCUUCUUCCUCAAUCUUGUAACUCGGAUUAGGUGUAAUCGAGAGAGGAAGAAGACGACUGAACCUCCGGUGACGUACUCUGUAAUCACAUUGAUUAUAGUGGAUUGGCUGAGAGACCGUUUCUCUCCCCGGUGAUGUAUAGCGGCUUCUCCACAUCGGAGAAGUGCGGUGAACACCGGGUAAACAAAGUCUCCUGUGUUAUUUCUUUAUGCUUGAUUCAUGAUUGAUUAGAUUCGUUUAGGCUUGUGAUGAGUAUUGAUUAAAGCCAAGAUUAUAGGAUGAAUCCUCAACAUUGAGGCAUGAGCUUGCAGGAUUAUGACAUGUACAUUGUUACAUUUCAUUACUGAUCAGACCAAAUUAUAGUCACAUCACAUCCAGGGGCGAAGCCAAAGCUAUUAUUCAUUGGGUGAACAAAUAGCAUAAUUAGUAUAAAGUUUCAAAUUAUAUAAAGAGCCUUAUAUAAAUACAUAUAUAAAAUUAGUGAACCGCCGUCAAAAAGUAAAAAAUUAGUGAAGUACCUUUUUGAAAAUAUCAUGGGUGCAUGCUCACUCUAUAACCUUACUAUUUUUUUCCCUUUGUCACAUGCAUCUAGCAAAUAAGAGAAAAAAUAUUUUCUUAUAAAAAGAGAAACUAGUGAUCAUAUGUACGAGAACAGAACAAGCAUUCCAUGCAAGAAAAUCCACUUUUAUUUCAUUUUCUAGACUAUACGAUGGCUUCUAUCGACGUAGAAAAAAAGCAAUAUACACUUCUAUAAUAUGUUACAAUAAAAUUUUAAAAUAAGAAAAAUGUUUUUUUUUUUUGCUUAAAUUUACCAAUUAGAGAGCCAGGGCAAAAAACGAUUUGCUAAUUAUACUUCUUUUUAAAAUGAUGAACAAAUUUUUACAAAAAUGAUUUUAUUUUAAAAGGUUUUUGCGUGUCACAAAAGAAAAGGCUUAUGAAUAAACAGAGUUAAUCAAGUAACACUCGA